rnacentral:rRNA from 1 species
GAUGAACGCUAGCGGCAGGCUUAACACAUGCAAGUCGAGGGGUAGAGUUAGCUUGCUAACUUGAGACCGGCGCACGGGUGCGUAACGCGUAUGCAAUCUACCUUGUACAGAGGGAUAGCCCAGAGCACUUUGGAUUAAUACCUCAUAGUAUUAUUGAAUGGCAUCAUUUGAUUAUUAAAGUUCCAACGGUACAAGAUGAGAAUGCGUCCCAUUAGCUAGAUGGUAAGGUAACGGCUUACCAUGGCAACGAUGGGUAGGGGUCCUGAGAGGGAGAUCCCCCACACUGUGACUGAGACACGGACCCGACUCCUACGGGAGGCAGCAGUGAGGAAUAUUGGUCAAUGGGCGCAAGCCUGAACCAGCCAUGCCGCGUGCAGGAAGACAGUCCUAUGGAUUGUAAACUGCUUUUAUACGGGAAGAAACCCUGCUACGUGUAGCAGCUUGACGGUACCGUAAGAAUAAGCAUCGGCUAACUCCGUGCCAGCCGCCGCCGUAA